rnacentral:rRNA from 1 species
CAGUCGCCGCGGUAAUACGAAGGGGGCUAGCGUUGUUCGGAUUUACUGGGCGUAAAGCGCACGUAGGCGGAUCCUUAAGUCAGAGGUGAAAUCCCAAGGCUCAACCUUGGAACUGCCUUUGAUACUGGGGAUCUCGAGUUCGGGAGAGGUGAGUGGAACUGCGAGUGUAGAGGUGAAAUUCGUAGAUAUUCGCAAGAACACCAGUGGCGAAGGCGGCUCACUGGCCCGAUACUGACGCUGAGGUGCGAAAGCGUGGGGAGCAAACAGGAUUAGAUACCCGUGUAGUCCCUGUCUCUUAUAC